rnacentral:rRNA from 1 species
UGGGGAAUAUUGCACAAUGGGCGCAAGCCUGAUGCAGCCAUGCCGCGUGUAUGAAGAAGGCCUUCGGGUUGUAUAGUACUUUCAGCGGGGAGGAAGGGAGUAAAGUUAAUACCUUUGCUCAUUGACGUUACCCGCAGAAGAAGCACCGGCUAACUCCGUGCCAGCAGCCGCGGUAAUACGGAGGGUGCAAGCGUUAAUCGGAAUUACUGGGCGUAAAGCGCACGCAGGCGGUUUGUUAAGUCAGAUGUGAAAUCCCCGGGCUCAACCUGGGAACUGCAUCUGGUACUGGCAAGCUUGAGUCUCGUAGAGGGGGGUAGAAGUCCAGGUGUAGCGGUGAAAUGCGUAGAGAUCUGGAGGAAUACCGGUGGCGAAGGCGGCCCCCUGGACGAAGACUGACGCUCAGGUGCGAAAGCGUGAGGAGCAAACAGG